rnacentral:tRNA from 1 species
GGAAGAUGUGCGCCAUGGGGCGCACCUCCCCUGCUAAGGGAGCUUGUCCGACAGGGCAGAGGUUCGAUUCCUCCUUCUUCCGC